GUGACUAGUCCUCGGAUUUUCCACUCUUGGGAAACCAAAAAUAACAGAAUCUAAGGAAACGAGAAGCAGCAGCAAAGGCAGCACAAAGCCAACACGACGCCGUUCGCCGCCGCUCCUAUCAACACAGCAUUUCCUUCUCUUCCUCCGUCUCCUUCUCUUCGUCUCUGUUUCUUUUCCAUUUCGUAUAUUAUUGCCGCCGCUCUUCUUUGACCGCUUCACCUUUCACUCAACCUUUUCCCGAUGGCGCUUCGUUUCGAGGUUUUGGGGAGGUUCAAUCGUGCUCGUGCAGCUCAACUGACACUCCCUCACUUUGUAUGUCAGACUCCUCUUUUCAUGCCUGUUGGAACACAAGGAACUAUAAAGGGGUUGGCAACUGACCAGCUUGAGGAGAUUGGUUGCCAAAUAAUUCUUGGGAAUACAUAUCAUUUGGCACUUCGACCUACCUCUGAGCUUAUUGACGAGAUGGGAGGCCUCCACAAAUUUAUGAACUGGCCAAGAGCGCUGCUUACUGAUUCUGGUGGCUUUCAGAUGGUAUCCUUAUUGCAUUUAGCUGACAUUACUGAAAAGGGUGUAACAUUUCAGUCACCAGUUGAUGGAAAGCCAAUGCUCUUGACACCUGAGGAAUCAAUUCAAAUCCAAAAUAGAAUUGGAGCAGAUAUUAUAAUGGCCCUUGAUGAUGUAGUGAAAACCACCAUCACUGGUCCAAGAAUUGAGGAGGCCAUGUAUCGUACUCUACGAUGGAUUGACAGAUGUAUAGCAGCUCAUACAAGACCGAGCGAGCAGAACUUAUUUGGUAUUGUUCAAGGUGGCUUAGAUCCUGUACUAAGGGAUAUAUGCGUCAGAGGCUUAGUAGAACGGAAUUUGCCUGGCUAUGCCAUAGGCGGUCUUGCGGGUGGCGAAAGUAAAGAUUCAUUUUGGCGCGUUGUUACUCAGUGCACUGCUGCACUGCCUGAGGACAAGCCGCGAUAUGUUAUGGGCGUUGGUUAUCCAUUGGACAUUGUAGUUUGCAGUGCUUUAGGUGCUGACAUGUAUGACUGUGUUUAUCCAACACGUACUGCUCGCUUUGGCACAGCUCUUAUACCUGAGGGAGUGCUGAAGCUGAAGCACAAAGCUAUGGCUAAUGAUACCCGCCCUAUCGAUCCUACAUGUGCUUGUAUGGUAUGCAAGAAUUAUACUAGAGCUUACAUUCAUUGCCUAGUUACAAAAGAUGCUAUGGGAUCUCAGCUUCUGUCAUAUCACAAUCUGUAUUACAUGCUAAAGCUAAGUAGAGAUCUACACUCGUCAAUAAUCCAAGGAACAUUUCCAGAGUUUGUAUGCAACUUUCUGCAAACAAUGAUCAAGACCGAUGGAAAGCAGAAGUGCAGAACGCAGCGCAGCCAACUAGCCAAGGAAGAGUGGAAAGAAGAGUCUUGGUCGUUGUUGGUGUGUUCCUUUGCUUGCGAUAUUAGAUCAGCCAUGAGUGAGAAGGGGGAAGAUGGAAGAGACAAAGCAUGGAAGUACACAAAAAAAGUGGAAGGGGAGAGAUACUUUAGAUGUGUAUUUUGUAAUCAAGUAUGCAGUGGCACUAUAUCUAGACUCAAGCAUCAUUUAGCAGGUGUUGGGGGUUGUAUGAAAGCAUGUAAUAAAGUCCCUGCAGAUGUGAAGAAAGAGUACGAAUUACUUUUAAAAGUAUUUAAAGAUGAUAAAAAUAAGAGAAGUAUUAUGUUGCGUGAGAUUGGGGCAGGAAUUGGUGGAGGAAGUAAUAGUUUUGAUUCUCCAUUAAGUGAAGAAUGUGGGAGUAACCUAAGUAGUACUACAGUUCAACCAAAAACUAAAGGACCACUUGAUAGAUUUGUGUCUUCGGAGCCUAGGCAAACCGUAUUGAAUGAGGCUUACAAAAAAGAAUUAAGGAAAGAGGUUUGUCGGAUGGUUGGGCGUUUUAUGUUUUCUAGAGUGCUUCCUUUCAAUACAGUUAAUGAUCCGUUUUGGUUAGCUAUGGUAGAGGGAAUAGCUAAGUAUGGUGUAGGGUUCAAGCCCCCUUCUAUGCAUGAAUUAAGGACUUGGAUCCUUAGGGAAGAAGAGAAAGGUUGUGGUGGACUCCAUGUGCAGCUCAUUGUAUUGAUCUUAUGCUUGAAGAUAUUAGCAAAAUAACGGUGUAUGAGAAAACAAUUAAAAGUGCUAAGCAAGUGGUCAAGUUUAUCUAUGGUCACACAUGGGUUCUUUCUCUCAUGAGGGAAUUCACAAGCAAUAAGGAGAUUAUUCGUCCGGCCAUCACUCGUUUUGCAACUUCCUUUCUCACCCUUCAAAGUAUCUAUAAGCAGAAGCAGCCUCUAUAGAUGAUGUUUAACAGCAAGAAGUGGAUUGAGGGCCCUUUUGUCAAAAGCCAUGAAGCUAUACAGUGUGUGUAUUGAGGGAGGUUGAUUCUGAGCUAAGACCUGCUAUGGGCUACAUAUAUGAAUUAAUGGAUGCUGCCAAAGAGAAAAUUGCAUUUAGUUUGAAGAGGAACCCAAGACAUUAUCAGCCAAUUUGGAAU